rnacentral:rRNA from 1 species
GAGAGGCCCAAACGUUAUUCGGAAUUACUGGGCUUAAAGAGUUCGUAGGCGGCGCAGAAAGUAGGGUGUGAAAGCCCUCGGCUUAACCGAGGAAUUGCGCUCUAAACUACUGUGCUUGAGGAACCUAGAGGUGAGCAGAACAGAUGGUGGAGCGGUGAAAUGCGUUGAUAUCAUCUGGAAUACCGGAGGCGAAGGCGGCUCACUGGGGGUUUUCUGACGCUGAGGAACGAAAGCCAGGGUAGCGAACGGGAUUAGAUACCCCGGUAGUCCUGGCCGUAAACGAUGAGCACUAGGCCGGAGGGCUGCACAGCCUUUCGGCCGUAGCUAAAGUGUUAAGUGCUCCGCCUGGGGAGUAUGGUCGCAAGGCUG